AGAGUUUGAUCCUGGCUCAGAUUGAACGCUGGCGGCAUGCCUUACACAUGCAAGUCGAACGGCAGCGCGGGUGCUUGCACCUGGCGGCGAGUGGCGAACGGGUGAGUAAUAUAUCGGAACGUGCCCUAGAGUGGGGGAUAACUAGUCGAAAGAUUAGCUAAUACCGCAUACGAUCUACGGAUGAAAGUGGGGGAUCGCAAGACCUCAUGCUCCUGGAGCGGCCGAUAUCUGAUUAGCUAGUUGGUGGGGUAAAAGCCUACCAAGGCGACGAUCAGUAGCUGGUCUGAGAGGACGACCAGCCACACUGGGACUGAGACACGGCCCAGACUCCUACGGGAGGCAGCAGUGGGGAAUUUUGGACAAUGGGGGAAACCCUGAUCCAGCAAUGCCGCGUGUGUGAAGAAGGCCUUCGGGUUGUAAAGCGCUUUUGUCAGGAACGAAACGGUGGGGGCUAAUAUCCUCUGCUAAUGACGGUACCUAAGAAUA
rnacentral:rRNA from 1 species